rnacentral:rRNA from 1 species
UACGUAGGGUGCGAGCGUUGUCCGGAAUUAUUGGGCGUAAAAGAGCUUGUAGGCGGUUUGUCGCGUCUGCCGUGAAAAUUCGAGGCUCAACCUCGAACUUGCGGUGGGUACGGGCAGACUAGAGUGUGGUAGGGGAGAAUGGAAUUCCCGUGUGAGCGGUGAAAUGCGCAGAUAUCAGGAAGAACACCCGUGGCGAAGGCGGUUCUCUGGAACGCAACUGACGCUGAGACGCGAAAGCGUGGGGAGCAAACAGG